rnacentral:rRNA from 1 species
AUACGGAGGAUGCAAGCGUUAUCCGGAUUUAUUGGGUUUAAAGGGUGCGUAGGCGGAUGAUUAAGCGUGAGGUGAAAUGCCACUGCUCAACAGUGGAACUGCCUCGCGAACUGGUUGUCUUGAAUGCUCCUGCCGUGGGAGGAAUGUGUGGUGUAGCGGUGAAAUGCAUAGAGAUCACACAGAACACCGAUUGCGAAGGCAUCUCACGAAGGGGUGAUUGACGCUGAGGCACGAAAGCGUGGGGAUCAAACAGGAUUAGAUACCCUGGUAGUCCAUGCAGUAAACGAUGAUAACUAACCGCUGGGUCGUAGUGAUUCAGUGGCCAAGCGAAAGCGAUAAGUUAUCCACCUGGGGAGUACGACCGCAAGGUUGAAACUCAAAGGAAUUGACGGGG